rnacentral:rRNA from 1 species
AUUGAACGCUGGCGGCAUGCCUUACACAUGCAAGUCGAACGGCAGCACGGGGGCAACCCUGGUGGCGAGUGGCGAACGGGUGAGUAAUGCAUCGGAACGUGCCCAGUAGUGGGGGAUAACCAGUCGAAAGACUGGCUAAUACCGCAUACGACCUAAGGGUGAAAGCGGGGGACCGUAAGGCCUUGCGCUGAUUGAGCGGCCGAUGUCAGAUUAGCUAGUGGGUGGGGUAAAGGCUCACCAAGGCGACGAUCUGUAGCGGGUCUGAGAGGAUGAUCCGCCACACUGGAACUGAGACACGGUCCAGACUCCUACGGGAGGCAGCAGUGGGGAAUUUUGGACAAUGGGGGCAACCCUGAUCCAGCCAUGCCGCGUGAGUGAAGAAGGCCUUCGGGUUGUAAAGCUCUUUCGGCCGGGAAGAAAUCGCACGGGCUAAUACCCUGUGUGGAUGACGGUACCGGAAUAAGAAGCACCGGCUAACUACGUGCCAGCCGCCGCCGUAACAC